CAGUCGCCGCGGGAAUACGUAGGGUGCGAGCGUUAAUCGGAAUUACUGGGCGUAAAGCGUGCGCAGGCGGUCGUGUAAGACGGGUGUGAAAUCCCCGGGCUUAACCUGGGAACUGCGCUUGUGACUGCACAGCUAGAGUAUGGCAGAGGGGGGUGGAAUUCCACGUGUAGCAGUGAAAUGCGUAGAGAUGUGGAGGAACACCGAUGGCGAAGGCAGCCACCUGGGCCAAUACUGACGCUCAUGCACGAAAGCGUGGGGAGCAAACAGGAUUAGAUACCCCUGUAGUCCCUGUCUCUUAUAC
rnacentral:rRNA from 1 species